rnacentral:rRNA from 1 species
CAGAACGAACGCUGGCGGCAGGCCUCAAACAUGCAAGUCUAGGGGGUGUAGCAAUACAUCACCGGCGGACGGGUGCGUAACACGUGGGAAUAUACCUUUGGUUCGGAACAACGCAGGGAAACUUGCGCUAAUACCGAAUGUGCCCUUACGGGGAAAGAUUUAUCGCCAAAGGAUUAGCCCGCGUAGGAUUAGCUAGUUGGUGAGGUAAUGGCUCACCAAGGCUCCGAUCCUUAGCUGUUCUGAGAGGAAGAUCAGCCACACUGGGACUGAGACACGGCCCAGACUCCUACGGGAGGCAGCAGUUGGGAAUCUUGGACAAUGGGGGAAACCCUGAUCCAGCCAUGCCGCGUGAGUGAUGAAGGCCUUCGGGUUGUAAAACUCUUUCGACGGGGACGAUAAUGACGGUACCCGUAGAAGAAGCUCCGGCUAACUUCGUG